rnacentral:rRNA from 1 species
UACAGAGGUCUCAAGCGUUGUUCGGAUUUACUGGGCGUAAAGGGCGCGUAGGCGGCCACCGCAAGUCGACUGUGAAAUCUCCGGGCUUAACCCGGAAAGGUCAGCCGAUACUGCGGGGCUAGAGUGCAGAAGGGGCAACUGGAAUUCUCGGUGUAGCGGAUGAAUGCGUAGAUAAUCGAGAGGAACACCUGCGGCGAAGGCGGGUUGCUGGGCUGACACUGACGCUGAUGCGCGAAAGCUAGGGGAGCGAACGGG